AAGGAAUUGGCUCACAUGAUUCUGGAAGCUGAGAAGUCCCAAGAUCCGCCAUCUGCAAGCUGGAGACCCAGGAGAGCUGGUGGCAUAGCUCUGAGAACUGGAGGGAGGAUGGCGUAAAUCCCAAGCCGAGGGCAGAAGACGCCGGAGGUUCCAGCCCCACAGUCAGGCGGAGGCAGCAAGUUCCCCCACCCUGGCCUUUGUGUUCUGCUCAGGCCCUCAAGGGACUGGACGAUGCUGCCCGCACUGGGCAGGGCCAUCUGCUUUACUCAGUCCACCAACUCAAAUGCUAAUCUCGGCGGAAAGCACUCUCACAGACACGCCCAGAAUAGUGUUUAGCCCAGUAUCUGGGCGCCCUGGGAUCCAGUGCAGUUGAAACAGAAUCUCAACCCUCACGCUGCUCCUCCAGGAACACCUGUCCUUUGAAAUGUUCCUGGCGACGAUUUUAUCCUGACUCGUCUUCACUUGUGGUUCAACAGCAACCUUCAGGGCAACCAGGGCGGGUCAUCGUGAGUCGCACACGAGUGGGCACCAACACACCGUUAGAGUGGAAGAAAACACAUACACGGCUCACGAAACGCGGGGCUGAAUGCUCGGCCUCCUUUCUCUCCCGUUGCACUCCUAGCGGCAUCUCCGAAGGACCUUGCUUGGGUUCACGGCCAGUGAGCCUGAGGAAAAUGAUGCCACCGAUCACCCUGGUUACCUCGAGCCCCCGCAUGCUUUCACCUUGAUCUUAUUAAGCAAAACAUAAGGAGCUGAUGCCACAGCUGACGAGCGAUUCGCUGGCUGUAAAGGGCUCCACUCAUGUGAGGUAGAUUAACUCUCGCAAAGCAUUACUCAUUAAUUUGCCCCAUUGUAGAAUAUUACUGACUACAUGGGGCUUUUUAACGUCUUAAAUUUCCGUCCUAACGAUUAGCAGCGCUUGAAACACUGCCUUCUCUUGACUGUAGAGGAAAGUGACUCGCUGUAGGAUCACGCCCAAACAGCAGCCUCUGUUGUCCUCUGAUAACGUGCCUACAUCAGGCCGGUUUCAGAAACGUCACCC
rnacentral:lncRNA from 1 species